GUCUCGGCAGCGGUGGCCGUAGCUCCAUCGCAUUUUAUGUUUCUGGCGAGAAGGGAACGGAGUUUUCAUCAGGUAGAUUGGUUUUUGUGCGGCCGUCCUCCACCGUUUCCUCCAGGACAGCACCUAGUCGUGGCCGGAGGAGUCUCAGAGCUGUCAGAAAGAAAUAAUCGGCUGGGCGUGGUGGCUCAUGCCUGUAAUCUCAGCACCUUGGGAGGCCGAGGCGGGUGGAUCACCUGAGGUCGAGAGUUCAAGACCAGCCUGACCAACAUGGAGAAACCCCGUCUCUACUAAAAAUACAGAAUUAGCCGGGCGUGGUGGCGCAUGCCUGUAAUUCCAGCUAAUUGGGAGGCUGAGGCAGGAGAAUCGCUUAAACCUGGAAGAUGGAGGUUGCGAAUAAGACUGAUUUUAUGGGAAAAUUAAGCAGAUGCUCCAGUUUGAGAAACCUGGAUCUGCGAUCUGUUUGUGAGUGGUAUUCAGUUAAGAGAACAAU
rnacentral:lncRNA from 10 species